rnacentral:lncRNA from 1 species
UGUCCCCACCUGGGACAGCUGGCUGCUACUGCCUCUGUCCUCAGAAAGCAAUCCAAGAGCUCUCUGAGCUGGCAGUGCAGAGGUACGGAGCUUGCUGUUUAUGCAGACCUUCUCUGGAGAGCAGACAUAGGUGCCGUGGCCUGGCUUCCAUUGCCAUCUCUGCCCUAGACGUUGUGCACGGGUUAAAGGGAGGCAGCGCCUGGUGGAACGUCCUGGGCUUGGAUGUGGCACCGGAGCCUUGACUGGAUUCUGUUCCACUACUGGGCUUCCUGGGCAUCUACCUUGGACCUAGCGUGGAGUCUCACGUUCAAGUUGUCUUGCCUGAAGAAGACAGCUAGUGGGCCUGCCUUGGGUCUCUGUUGAACAAUUAAAGGAGCACCGAGAUCCCCUCUGUUGAAUAAUUAAAGAAGGGAGAGAGAGACCCCUGCUGCAGGACGCCUUGCAUUGUAACCUCUGGGAAGCAUAAGCCCUGCUCGCUAUAAAUGAGAAUGUCACUUCCACAUCUCCUCUGAGCAUAUUGGUCC